GGGGAUGUAGCUCAGCUGGGAGAGCAUUACACUGGCAGUGUAAGGGUCAGGGGUUCGAGUCCCCUCAUCUCCACCA
rnacentral:tRNA from 1 species